UUUGAAGUUUUAUUACGUGGUACAUUCUGGAUACAGACACUUCUUUGACGUCCUGGACAGGUUUUUCUUCAAAAACUAAAAAGGCAGGAAGUUUUGAAUACAAAAGAAAUUCCUUAACAUCAUGUUCACAGCCCAGUCACCAGAGUAAAAUGUUGGAAGUGCACACUUCUGCAAACCACCUGUAUGUUACACUGGUACUUUUCAUAUAUACAACGUAGUUCAGAUAACGUGUAUUAGCUAAGUUUCUCUUUAGGAGGAGGAGGGGAUGGUGGAUGGCGUGACAUCUAGGCACUACGACUGUAAACCUGCAGAACCCUUUUCAACACCAACAAAAACAGGUAAUUUUAAUGACAAUUUAGGUAAUUUCCAGCUGUGUUUAUAGCAAGAAACACGGGUAUUUUUUAACAAAUGGUCAAGACAUUUCCAGCUGUUGCAGCAAUGAAUGCAGGUAUUUUUAAUUAGGAGUUUGGGACAUCUUCAGCCAUGUCUGUAGUGACAAAAGCAGGUGUUUUCAGCAACAGGUAGGGAAAGGUUUUAGCCAUGUUUGUAGUGACAAAAGCAGAUGUUUUUAGCAACAGGUAGGGAAAGGUUUUAGCCAUGUUUGUAGUGACAAAAGCAGAUGUUUUUAGCAACAGGUAGGGAAAGGUUUUAGUCAUGUUUGUAGCGACAAACCAGGUGUUUUCAGCAACAUGUAGGCAAAGUCUUUAGCCAUGUUUGAAGCGACAAAAUCAGGUGUUUUCAGCAACACGUAGGAAAAGGUUUUAGUCCUGUUUGAAGCGACAGAAACAGGUUUUCUCAGCAACAUGUAGGGAAAGUCUUUAGCCAUGUUUGUAGUGACAAAAGCAGGUGUUUUCAGCAACAGGUAGGGAAAGGUUUUAGCCAUCUUUGUAGCGACAAAAACAGGUGUUUUUAGCAACAUGUAGGGAAAGGUUUUAGCCAUGUUUGUAGUGACAAAAGCAGAUGUUUUUAGCAACAGGUAGGGAAAGGUUUUAGUCAUGUUUGUAGCGACAAACCAGGUGUUUUCAGCAACAUGUAGGGAAAGUCUUUAGCCAUGUUUAAAGCGACAAAAUCAGGUGUUUUCAGCAACACGUAGGGAAAGGUUUUAGCCAUCUUUGUAGCGACAAAAGCAGGUGUUUUUAGCAACAGGUAGGGAAAGGUUUUAGUCAUGUUUGUAACGACAAAAGCAGGUGUUUUUAGCAACAAGUAGGGAAAGGUUUUAGCCAUGUUUGUAACGACAAAAGCAGGUGUUUUCAGCAACAUGUAGGGAAAGGUUUUAGCCAUGUUUGAAGCGACAAACGCAGGUGUUUUUAGCAACAUGUAGGGAAAGGUUUUAGCCAUGUUUGUAGCGACAAACCAGGUGUUUUCAGCAACAUGUAGGGAAAGUCUUUAGCCAUGUUUGAAGCGACAAAAUCAGGUGUUUUCAGCAACACGUAGGAAAAGGUUUUAGUCCUGUUUGAAGCGACAGAAACAGGUUUUCUCAGCAACAUGUAGGGAAAGUCUUUAGCCAUGUUUGUAGUGACAAAAGCAGGUGUUUUCAGCAACAGGUAGGGAAAGGUUUUAGCCAUCUUUGUAGCGACAAAAACAGGUGUUUUUAGCAACAGGUAGGGAAAGGUUUUAGCCAUGUCUGUAGUGACAAAAUCAGGUGUUUUCAGCAACAUGUAGGGAAAGGUUUUAGUCAUGUUUGAAGCAGCAGAGGCAGGUUUUCUCAGCAACAUGUAGGGAAAGGUUUUAGCCAUGUUUGAAGCAGCAGAGGCAGGUUUUCUCAGCAACAUGUAGGGAAAGGUUUUAGUCAUGUUUGAAGCAACAGAGGCAGGUUUUCUCAGCAACAUGUAGGGAAAGUCUUUAGCCAUGUUUGUAGCGACAAAAGCAGGUGUUUUUCAGCAACAGGUAGGGAAAGGUUUUAGCCAUGUUUGAAGCGACAAAAGCAGGUGUUUUUAGCAACAUGUAGGGAAGGCUUUUAGCCAUGUUUGUAGCGACAAAAGCAGGUGUUUUCAGCAACAGGUAGGGAAAGGUUUUAGCCAUGUUUGAAGCAACAAAAGCUGGUGUUUUUCAGCAACAGGUAGGGAAAGGUUUUAGCCAUGUUUGAAGCGACAAAAGCUGGUGUUUUUAGCAACAGGUAGGGAAGGCUUUUAGCCAUGUUUGAAGCAACAUAAUCACGUGUUUUCAGCAACAUGUAGGGAAAGGUUUUCGUCAUGUUUGAAGCGACAAAAGCAGGUGUUUUCAGCAACAGGUAUAGAAGGUUUUUAGCCAUGCUUGUGGUGACAAAAGUGGGUAUUUUUCAGUGAGUGGUCGGGACCUUUUUAGCCUUGCUUGUAGCAAUCAAACAAGGUAUUUCAACCUUUCCUCACCUGAAUCAAGUGCUUUUUUGUGCCUAAACAUAACCACAUGUUAACCACAGUACUGUCAAAACAUAAAAUUGAAAAUUGAAACAUAAAGUUUCAACAUAUCCCUACAAAUGAAAUAAUUGCAAAAAGCUACAAUGCAAACAUUUGCUGGUGUUUGGACUGAUGUACAACACUGUUUAUUUAAAUAAACACUGCAUAUUAGUCAAGUUUGACUAGAUAACACUAGUACUGUUACCAUUCCCAAUGCCAUUAAUUUGUGUUAAUGCUCAUGAGAAGAAAGGUAUCA